rnacentral:rRNA from 1 species
UACGAAGGGGCUAGCGUUGCUCGGAAUUACUGGGCGUAAAGGGCGCGUAGGCGGCACUGUUAGUCAGGCGUGAAAGUCCUGGCUCAACCUGGGAACUGCGCUUGAUACGGCAGAGCUAGAGGAUGGAAGAGGUCGCGGAAUUCCCAGUGUAGAGGUGAAAUUCGUAGAUAUUGGAAGAACACCGGUGGCGAAGGCGGCGACCUGGUCCAUACUGACGCUGAGCGCGACAGCGUGGGAGCAA